ensembl:lncRNA
GUUCACGUUUCUCUCCUCCCGCGAGAUCAGGUCUGAGGCCCCGGGUAGUCUCGAGGCCGGGUUCUCGAGGCCCCGGGUGUUCUCUAGGUACCCGGAUGUUCUCGAGGGCCCUGGAUGUUCUCAGCGCCCAGAGGCAGGAAGUGGAUCUGCUGCUAAGUAGCUUCAGUGGUGUCCGACUCUGUGCGACCCCAUAGACGGCAGCCCACCAGGCUCCCCCGUCUCUGGGAUUCUCCAGAUUGAGUAAGCUUCAAAUCCAUAAAGACUGGGAUCAGCCUCUGCUCUGGGAUGUACUGGCCCAUUUUGAAAAUGAGAAAACUGAGCCUCGAAGAGAUAAAAGUGACUUGACCUCAAGAAAACUGAUCAGCUCUGAUCACGUGUUUUCCUGCAUUGAAGCAUUUUUUCAUCCUGGAACCACACACCACUGGGGCACUGGAGACAAGAAGCAGUGAUGCUUGCCUAAGCUCCUGAGUGCAUCCAAGGACCAGCGGAUGGACGUUGCAGAGAGGCCGAUUACAAUUCAGGGCAAGUGAGACCUUGGUCGUAACCAGAGCUUUCUCCAAAUGGAACAAUCUUGAGGGCGGACAAAGAGGAGUUGAGUGCCUCCGGCAGACGAUUGAACUUAAUAGGCAUUAAGAUCCGUUCUGACUCUCCCUUUCAGCUCUGAGAUCCCAUCGCUUCCAUGCCUUGUUCCCAAAGGGAAUUAAGAGCUUUCCUGUGUUUGACUUAAAAGUUCCUCUUUUAAACAAGAUGCCUUUUAAGGUCCCCUUUGAUCAGUUUUCAUGAUGCUGUCUGUACAGUAUUUUGUCUUGGCUGCCUCCGAAGUAGAAGACAGCACAGGACAUAGCUUAAAACCCCCGCUCAUUGGCUGGGUACCCUGGACAAGUGAUGGAAGCUCACUGAACCUCAGUGAAGCGCAGAAACACAUUUCCUAUCACAGAGAUUGUUGUGAGGGUUAAAUAUCAUGCUUCUGUGAAAACCGAGUUUCCCUGGUGGCUCAGCGGUAAAGACUCUGCCUGCAUGCAGGAGCUGCAAAAGACGCGGGUUUGAUCCCUGGGUGGGGAAGAUCCCCUGAGGAGGAAAUGGCAACCCACUCCAGUAUUCUCGCCUGGAGAAUCCCAUGGACAGAGGAACCUGGCGGGCUACGGUCCAUGGGGUUGCAAACAGUCGGAAGUGACUGAAGCGGCUGAGCACCAACACGAGCGUGUGAAGCCAGCACUGGAGCUGGCCCAAACCAGGAAUUUAAUAAACACUUGUUGAGAAAUAAGAACGGAAGGAGUUACUUUCCAGUGGGUCUUCCAACUUGAGCAUGCAUCUGAAUCCCCUGAAGGCUCACCCCGAGAUUCUGACGUUUGGGGUGACGUCCUAGGAUUUGCAUUUCCGACCAGGUGAUGAGAAUGAUGGCGUGGGACCACAUGUUAAGAACUUAGACAGGUGAAGGACAAUUACCUGUAAAG